rnacentral:rRNA from 1 species
GUUAAACCAGUAAGUUAAGUUAUAUAUUUUGGUAAAAAGACAGUUAGACAAGAAUUAGUUUAUCAAUUUCUUAUAUAAAAGUAAAAUUUAAUAUAGGUGUAAUAGAAUAAUAAUAGCUUUAUUGUUGAAUCUGUGAUAUCUUUAAGGGAAACUGGGAUUGGAUACCCCAUUAUUUCUAGAUGUAAAUAAAGAAAUUUACCAGAGUACUACAAAUAAAAUAAUUUAAAACUCAAAGAGCUUGGCGGUAUUUUAGACCACUUAGGGGAACCUGUCUCAUAAUCGACAAUCCACGUUAAACCUUACCUUUUUUAGUAAUCAAUUUGUAUACCGUUGUCAUCAGGUAACUUUCAAAGAAAAAAAAAGUUAGCUAAAAAAUUUUUUAAAUUAGGAUGUCAAAUCAAGGUGCAGUUUAUAAAAAGGAGAAGAUGGGUUACAAUUAUAAAUUAUAAUACGAAUAUGCAUAUUGCAAAUGUUAUAAAUAGCUUGAAGGAGGACUUAAAAGUAAACUUAUAUAUAAAAAUAAAUUGAACAAGGCUCUAAAAUGUGCACACAU